CACCAACUAGUAUCCUUAUUGUCAAGAAUUAAUUUUAUCAACGACUUAUAAGUUUGGUAUGCAUAUUUCUUAUGAUGUUGAACCUUGACUUUGAGACACAUGAUGGCUUUGUUUUAUUUUUUUUGUUGAAUUUUCUAUCCUGUAAGUUUCAACUCCACUAGUAUCAUGUUUCCAUAGAUGAUGCUGUCUUAGAUGUUGGAGUCGUGACUCAUUCUUUAUACUGAUGUUUCUGUGUGGAAUUUUCCCAGUUGUCCUGUUCAUUGUUUGAUGUUUCUGUGUGUGUUGUAGCUGAAUUUGGUUGUAGCUUCUGCAAGCUUUCUUCACUUUCUUCCCUCCACUAUCUGUUAACAAGUUUGAUCUUUACAAUUCAGUUAUAAGAACAAACAAUAUGACCAAAGGUUGAUAACUUUGCUUCAUCCUUUUUACAUUUCAGUAUGUGGAUGAAAGCAAAUAUGUAUUGAUGUACCUAAAUGGAUUUACAAAAAUAUCUUUGAAAUGUUUUGUCAUACAGAUAUGGCAUCUAGUAUAAUUUUUUCCAACUUGAUUGUUGCAUUAUCAUAUAAUGAGAUUAGGUGCACAGCUUUCAGUCAGUUUAUUGUUUUUGCUAAAGAUCAUUGCUAGUAGGCCGACAAAAGACAGGUCUAAAAUGAAGCCUAAGAAAACAUGCUUAAGAUGAUAUUUUAAGAUUUUCUAAACAUUGGAUCUUUGCGGAAGGUUGUGAUUGGCACGACAAGUGUUCUAAAAUGAAGCCAAAGAAAAUGGGGGAGAAAAUAAGGUUGUGACAAAAAUUGAUUGGCAUCGGAAAGGAGACUAUUUUACUACUAUCGUUCCUAGUGAUAUCCUAAUUAUGAAUUUUAGUUGUACUUAUUUUUAGUCAUUCCUAGUGCCUAUUUUAUUCCUAGUCACCUUAUUUCAAUGACAAGAACAAGGGUUCUCAUGGCCAAUAUGUGUCUAUUAAUGGGAUUUUCAAUGUCUUGCUUACCACGCUAAUCCUACUUCUGAUUGGAUUUGCAGCUUCAAGAUAUCAAACUCUACACCUUCUAUAUGGAGCUAGAUUUGCAAAAGCCAUAUCCAACUCGAGGAAGUGACUUAUUGACAUGGGAGAGAACUUAUUGGUAACCAAGGACUUUGUGAAGAUAGCAAAUUCUGGCCUUGCUCGUGAAGUUCAUUCGAAGCCACCAUUCACAGAAUAGGUUUCAACACGCUGUUUACAAAUCUCAAGUACUC